CAAGGUAGCCGUAUCGGAAGGUGCGGCUGGAUCACCUCCUUUUGAGUAUGGUGAAUAUAAUUGUCUUAUCAGGCGUCCUCACAAGUUACUUGCAUUCAGGGUUUGAUGUUGGCAUAGGUUUGGGUUUAUGUUGGCGAUUUUUGUUCUGGGGGCCUUAGCUCAGCUGGUAGAGCACCUGCUUUGCAAGCAGGGGGUCGUCGGUUCGAUCCCGACAGGCUCCACCAUGAAAGUAUUUAUGGGUCUGUAGCUCAGGUGGUUAGAGCGCACCCCUGAUAAGGGUGAGGUCGGUGGUUCGAGUCCUCCCAGACCCACCAAUGUUAUAUCAAUUAUUCUGAAUGUGGUUUGCGCAUUUUUUAUGCUUAUCAGCCUUGGAGCUGUGAAGCGUUCUUUUAUAAUUUGAUGAUGUAGCAAGCGUUUGAACUUUUUAUUAAUAAUUUCUCAUUGGAAGCCUUAAGUGACAAUGUUUAUCCAUUGUCUUGUAGAUUUUGAGGCGACUUUGGGUUAUAUGGUCAAGCGAAUAAGCGCACACGG
rnacentral:misc_RNA from 1 species